rnacentral:rRNA from 1 species
CAGCAGCCGCGGUAAUACGUAUGUCACAAGCGUUAUCCGGAUUUAUUGGGCGUAAAGCGCGUCUAGGUGGUUAUGUAAGUCUGAUGUGAAAAUGCAGGGCUCAACUCUGUAUUGCGUUGGAAACUGUGUAACUAGAGUACUGGAGAGGUAAGCGGAACUACAAGUGUAGAGGUGAAAUUCGUAGAUAUUUGUAGGAAUGCCGAUGGGGAAGCCAGCUUACUAGACAGAUACUGACGCUAAAGCGCGAAAGCGUGGGGAGCGAACAGGAUUAGAUACCCGUGUAGUCCCUGUCUCUUAUACA